AGCUACUCCCUGGUUUCUAGGGUUUGCCGUUCUCUCAAAUCUCCUCUCAGAUCUCAUCUCCGAGCUACUAAUCUCGGCGUCAUGCUACUCUCGUUGCCAUUCCAGUCUUGUUCGUCGUCGUCAAGCUACUAAUCUCGUCGUCAAGGUGCUGCGGAUAACAUCGAUUGCUGCAUUAAUCACGAUCCAUUGCUCUAGGUCGAUCCCUGAGGUAAGAUUUCUUAACCUAAAAGCUAUUUCUUCUCAAAAAAAAUUGGAUUUAUUUGUUUUCUAUUGGGUAAUGACAGAAUGUUGGUUGUGAUUAGCUACUAGGUUAGGCAAGUGGGUUAAUUAAAUUGAGGGGAUUUGCUUAUAUCUUGAUUUAAGUAACUGUUGGAUCACUGUU